ACAGUGGACGCGAGCAUCUGUGGCCAAGUUUUUAAGGGCGCACGGUGGAUGCCUUGGCACCAGGAACCGAUGAAGGACGUGAGAGGCCGCGAUAGGCCCCGGGGAGCUGCCAACUGAGCUUUGAUCCGGGGGUGUCCGAAUGGGGAAACCCGGCAGUCGUCAUGGGCUGUCACCCACUGCUGAACACAUAGGCAGUGUGGAGGGAACGAGGGGAAGUGAAACAUCUCAGUACCCUCAGGAAGAGAAAACAACCGUGAUUCCGGGAGUAGUGGCGAGCGAAACCGGAUGAGGCCAAACCGUAUGCGUGUGAUACCCGGCAGGGGUUGCGCAUGCGGGGUUGUGGGAAUGAGCUUUCACAGUCUGCCGGCUGUGAGGCGAGUCAGAAACCGUUGAUGUAGUCGAAGGACAUGCGAAAGGUCCGGCGUAGAGGGUAAGACCCCCGUAGACGAAACAUCAGCGGCUUGCUUGCUCAUCUCCCAAGUAGCACGGGGCCCGAGAAAUCCCGUGUGAAUCUGGCGGGACCACCCGCUAAGCCUAAAUAUUCCCUGGUGACCGAUAGCGGAUAGUACCGUGAGGGAAUGGUGAAAAGUACCGCGGGAGCGGAGUGAAAUAGUACCUGAAACCGUGUGCCUACAAGCCGUGGGAGCGUCGCU
rnacentral:rRNA from 1 species